AGCAAUCCAUUUUAAUCCUCUUUACAUUUAUCUAUUAUGUAUAUAUAUAUAUAUAUAUAUAUAUAUAUAUAUAUAUAUAUAUAUGUUCAUUCUAUAAGUUGUUUUUCCUCCAGGAAACCCUUGCAGAUGUGUGUGCCUCUGGACUCCAGUCUUUGUAUUCAAGACGUGCCUGUCUAUUCAGACUCAGCCAUCCACUUAUACAAAUCAAAGCACUAUUUCUCUCUUUCUUAAUCAUUUGUCAUUAUUUCUAAGGAACCUGUUUGCCUACCUCCUAACUUGCUGUUAUGGGAGCGAGAAGUUGGCAUAAGUGUAGAAUAGCCAUCUGUCUUCAGUUUAAUUUACACACCACUCUUUUCUUAAGAAACAUGUGAAAGCAUCUAGCUGACAACUCACUACCUCAGAGGUCAGAUAAAACAAUGGGCAUUUGCUUAUUCAUGGAUUUGUUUGUUUGUUUGCUUUUACUGUCAUGAUUCUGAAGUGUUUACAUUUUGGCAAGGUGAAAAUAAAUUCACAUUUUUGCAAAGACAUUAUAGAAAAUCAAAUGUCCAUGAAAGUACUGCUGCUUUUUCAGCUGGAUGAGAGGUGGUUGGGUUAAAGGUAGCAAUGCACUUGUCUUUCAUGUGAAUUUGAUUUCAGUUUAUCUUUUUUAAAAGUGGGGAAAAAGUACCCCAAAUAAGCAACCACCUAGGUAAGUAAUGUCUAUGGAGUCAGAGUCCAAGUAACUUGCUUUGGGAGGGACAAAGGCUGGAUUUUCCAAGGACAUGCUGUUUGGAGACUUUAUCAUGUAGAUGCUGUGGCUGAGCAUGUUGGCAUUCAUGCUGUCAGUGUGGUCUGUCAUAACUGAGAGUUAGGAAUCUCUGUGCCAUUUAGGGACAUGGAAGUUGACUCCAUAGAAAUUGACUUUAAAAGCAUGCUCAGGGAUUUGUCACCUGAACAGAAAUCCCACUUGGACUCUUUAAAAUGUGAACUUACUGACAUACUUCCUCUGGAAUUGGCCAUUAGAUACAAUUCUCUCCUGAUCUUAUUCUCUAGGUAAGUGGGUUUUUAAAGGUGGAUUAUUGACAGCUCAGUACCAUCUAUAAUGUAUCUGCAGUGAAAUAUAUAAGAAGAAAGAAUAUGUAAGUAACUUGGUCCAUAAGUGAACUGCUUUGUGACAGGAGCUCUCAGUGGAGCCCCAGGCUGGGCUUGUGUAUAAGAUCUUCCUGCCUCAGCCUCCUGAAUCCUGCGUUUAUAGGCAGGCAUAAACCAUUAGCAUGUAGGAGCAGAGCUCCUCCUGACAGUGUUCUGUCCAUGGGUUUCUGCUUCUUUCCAGUUAUUUUGAAUCUUAGAUUAAAGUUGAAUCCUUAUCAAAAACUUAGAUCCUACUUUUUAGGAUCUCACAAAAUGCCACUCAAAAGGUUGUUUUCGAGGCCAGGUAUCUCAACGAGUGUGCAGAAAUUCAUGCUAGUGUGCAAAUAAAAAUAUUAAUCCAGAUGAGAGGUGGGACCUCCAUUGGCAAACAGCCCAGCAGGCGUGUUUCUAGGCUGCCAGGACUCUACUUGUCUACGGAGUUUCAGGACAUCCCUUCUGAUUAGAGUCACGCAACAAGAGGACUCUUAAUCACUUUGGAGAGGGGCACACAGCCUGUAUGGCCUGUAGAAAGGCUGGAACGAGGGAGUCUCUCCCCUGUGAUGUUGUGGGAAUGGAGUUCUGUCCACGAGUCAGUUAUUCUCAGAUGCAGACCGCUUCUUUGGCUUGUAUUCUAGUUAUUCCCAAACAGAGAUCUCCAAGUGGGUGCAAGCAGCCUCAGACUGCAAAUCAAGUCAUGUGAGUGUGUGACAAGAAUCAACUCUGUGAAAUAUUUCCUCAGAGAAUAAAAGAACCCCAGAAAAAUGUAUUUUAUAGUUUUCAUGGCAAAAUAAUUUAUAGUACAAGGAGUUACUUUCAUUCCUAUUUUAUCAUUCUGAACUUGUUUUUUUCUCUGUGUAUAGCAAAAGCAAAAUGAAUGAUUCAACAAUUUUGAAUAUGAUAUAUAUAUGUGUAUAUAUAUAUCAUAUAUAUGAUAUAUAAAACUGCUCAUAUACAUGUGUAUAUAUAUAUAUCAUAUAUAUGAUAUAUAAAACUGCUCAUAUAUACGUAUAUGAGCAGUUUUGAAAAGCAAUAAAGGGCUGGAGAGAUGGCUCAAUGGUUAAUAGCACUGGCUGUUCUUUCAGAGGUCCUGAGUUUGAUUCCCAGCAGCUACAUGGUAGCUCACAACCAUUUGUAAUGGGACUCUGGUGCCCUUUUCUAGUGUGUUUGAAAAGAGUGACAGUGUACUCAUGUACAUUAAAUAAAUAA
rnacentral:lncRNA from 1 species